rnacentral:tRNA from 1 species
GAGGGUAUAGCUCAGUGGUAGAGAGCAUUCUUAGCAUGCACGAGGUCCUGGGUUCAAUCCCCAGUACCUCCA